CGCGGCCUAUCAGCUUGUUGGUGAGGUAAUGGCUCACCAAGGCUUCGACGGGUAGCCGGCCUGAGAGGGCGACCGGCCACACUGGGACUGAGAUACGGCCCAGACUCCUACGGGAGGCAGCAGUGGGGAAUAUUGCACAAUGGGCGCAAGCCUGAUGCAGCAACGCCGCGUGCGGGAUGACGGCCUUCGGGUUGUAAACCGCUUUCAGUAGGGACGAAGCUAACGUGACGGUACCUACAGAAGAAGGACCGGCUAACUACGUGCCAGCAGCCGCGGUGAUACGUAGGGUCCGAGCGUUGUCCGGAAUUAUUGGGCGUAAAGGGCUUGUAGGCGGUCCGUCGCGUCAGGAGUGAAAACUCGGGGCUUAACCCCGAGCCUGCUUUUGAUACGGGCGGACUAGAGGGAUGCAGGGGAGAACGGAAUUCCUGGUGGAGCGGUGGAAUGCGCAGAUAUCAGGAGGAACACCGGUGGCGAAGGCGGUUCUCUGGGCAUCACCUGACGCUGAGGAGCGAAAGCGUGGGGAGCAAACAGGCUUAGAUACCCUGGUAGUCCACGCCGUAAACGGUGGGCACUAGGUGUGGGGGACAUUCCACGUUCUCCGUGCCGAAGCUAACGCAUUAAGUGCCCCGCCUGGGGAGUACGG
rnacentral:rRNA from 1 species